UCCCAAUAUCUCUCCUUGUGAUUUCGACACUCUUCUUGUUCUUCUGAUUCUCUCUCUCGGAUCUCCCCUCAUUUUUCACCUCACCCGAGAGCUAGGGUUUUGGUAUUCUGGGUCCGUUUGCUUUAUUGGGUUUUUUUUUUCUGGGUGCGAUUUGUGGGUGGGUAGAGAAGACUUGCUGUGAUGGACGAGAGUAUUGUUGACGAUCUUAUACGAAAGCUUGUGGCUGCGAAGAAUGGCCGGACCACCAAACAGGUGCAACUGACGGAAGCUGAAAUACGGCAGCUUUGCUCUGCCUCCAAGGAAAUCUUUCUUAGUCAGCCGAAUCUUCUGGAGCUUGAAGCUCCAAUUAAGAUUUGUGGAGAUGUUCACGGUCAGUUUUCAGAUCUUUUGCGACUGUUUGAGUAUGGUGGGUACCCACCGCAAGCCAAUUAUUUAUUCCUAGGAGACUAUGUUGAUCGUGGUAAGCAGAGCAUAGAGACAAUAUGCCUUCUCCUUGCAUACAAGAUCAAAUACAAGGAGAACUUCUUUCUCCUCAGAGGCAACCAUGAAUGCGCUUCCAUCAACCGGAUCUAUGGAUUCUAUGAUGAGUGCAAGAAAAGAUUUAAUGUUCGUAUAUGGAAGACAUUUACUGACUGCUUCAACUGUCUUCCUGUUGCUGCUCUUAUUGAUGAGAAGAUCCUUUGCAUGCAUGGCGGUCUAUCUCCUGAUUUGAAACACUUAGAUCAGAUUAGGAAUAUUGCACGGCCAGCGGAUGUGCCAGAUCAGGGCCUUCUCUGUGAUCUAUUAUGGGCUGAUCCUGAUAAAGAUGUUGAAGGUUGGGGAGAGAAUGAUCGUGGCGUGUCAUAUACAUUUGGGGCUGACAUGGUUGCUGAAUUUCUCCAGAAACAUGACCUAGAUCUUAUUUGCCGUGCUCAUCAGGUUGUGGAAGAUGGAUAUGAGUUUUUUGGAAAAAGGAAGCUGGUAACCAUAUUUUCAGCUCCAAAUUACUGUGGGGAGUUUGAUAAUGCUGGUGCCAUGAUGAGUGUAGAUGAUACAUUGACAUGUUCCUUCCAGAUUUUGAAAGCAUCUGAGAAGAAGGGAAAGCUUGGGAUAAACAUGUUAAGACCAGGAACUCCUCCUCACAAGUAGGUCAAAUAGUACUGAAUGGAAGCCUAAAGUAAUUGGCGAUGUGAAUUAGUUGUUAUGGGGAAAUCUGGUAAGGGAUGAACGAUUGCAGAAGCUUUACUUGUAACUUCUGAGAACUCCUUCUGGAUCAUCCUGUGCUGUUUGGCUUUCUCUCGACUGCAAGGUUUAAUUAUUCACCUCUGCCUUCUUUUGUGCCGUACGGAAGUAUGAAGCUGAAAAUUCACUUCUACAGUGGCAAAAGACCCAUUAGUGUAUCUGAAUUAGUGCACCUUUUUUUUUCCCAAAAAAAAAGAGAAAUGAAACCAUCUGUAUAAUUGAAAUUUCGGCUCCAUUGUGUUGAAUUGUAGAAGUUAUUGUUUCAUGGAAAAACCUAAAUUUUCUGUUGCUUGCAAUUGACUUUACCAUUUCCCGGUAGUUCAGCCGGGAGUGUGUUGCUCUCCUUUACCAUCA